rnacentral:rRNA from 1 species
CCUACGUGAGGCAGCAGUGAGGAAUAUUGGUCAAUGGGCGUAAGCCUGAACCAGCCAAGUCGCGUGAGGGAUGAAGGUUCUAUGGAUCGUAAACCUCUUUUAUAAGGGAAUAAAUUGUGACGUGUCCUUUUUUGUAUGUACCUUAUGAAUAAGUAUCGGCUAACUCCGUGCCAGCAGCCGCGGUAAUACGGAGGAUCCGAGCGUUGUCCGGAUUUAUUGGGUUUAAAGGGUGCGUAGGCGGCCUUUUAAGUCAGCGGUGAAAGUCUGUGGCUCAACCAUAGAAUUUCCGUUGAAACUGGGAGGCUUGAGUAUGUUAGAGGAAGGCGGAAUGCGUGGUGUAGCGGUGAAAUGCUUAGAUAUCACGCAGAACCCCGAUUGCGAAGGCAGCAUGCCAGGCCAUGACUGACGCUGAUGCACGAAAGCGUGGGGAUCAAACAGGAUUAGAUACCCCGGUAGUC